GUGGCCUAGUGGUUAGAGCUUCCGUCUGGGAUACGGGAGGUCGCGCGUUUGAACCCUGGCUGAUUCA